CUGCUCACUUUGACAGCACGCUUACUAAAACUGGAAUGAUACAGGAAAGAUUAGUGUGGUCCCUGCACAAGGAGGCCACAACAGUGACAACCAAGAUCCUCAU